rnacentral:rRNA from 1 species
CAAGUCGAACGAUGAAACCGCCCUCGGGCGGACAUGAAGUGGCGAACGGGUGAGUAACACGUGACCAACCCUGCCCCUUGCUCCGGGACAACCUUGGGAAACCGAGGCUAAUACCGGAUACUCCUCGCCCCCCUCCCUGGGGGGCCCGGGGAAAGCCCAGACGGCAAGGGAUGGGGUCGCGGCCCAUUAGGUAGUAGGCGGGGUAACGGCCCACCUAGCCCGCGAUGGGUAGCCGGGUUGAGAGACCGACCGGCCACAUUGGGACUGAGAUACGGCCCAGACUCCUACGGGAGGCAGCAUG